rnacentral:rRNA from 1 species
UGCGAAUGGCUCAUUAAAUCAGUUAUCGUUUAUUUGAUAGUACCUUACUACUUGGAUAACCGUGGUAAUUCUAGAGCUAAUACAUGCUGAAAACCCCGACUUCGGGAGGGGUGUAUUUAUUAGAUAAAAAACCAACGCCCUUCGGGGCUUCUUGGUGAUUCAUGAUAACUUAACGAAUCGCAUGGCCUUGCGCCGGCGAUGGUUCAUUCAAAUUUCUGCCCUAUCAACUUUCGAUGGUAGGAUAGUGGCCUACCAUGGUAUCAACGGGUAACGGGGAAUUAGGGUUCUAUUCCGGAGAGGGAGCCUGAGAAACGGCUACCACAUCCAAGGAAGGCAGCAGGCGCGCAAAUUACCCAAUCCCGACACGGGGAGGUAGUGACAAUAAAUACUGAUACAGGGCUCUUUUGGGUCUUGUAAUUGGAAUGAGUACAAUUUAAAUCCCUUAACGAGGAACAAUUGGAGGGCAAGUCUGGUGCCAGCAGCCGCGGUAAUUCCAGCUCCAAUAGCGUAUAUUAAAGUUGUUGCAGUUAAAAAGCUCGUAGUUGAACCUUGGGCCUGGCUGGCCGGUCCGCCUCACCGCGUGCACUGGUCCGGCCGGGCCUUUCCUUCUGGGGAGCCGCAUGCCCUUCACUGGGUGUGUCGGGGAACCAGGACUUUUACUUUGAAAAAAUUAGAGUGUUCAAAGCAGGCCUUUGCUCGGAUACAUUAGCAUGGAAUAAUAGAAUAGGACGUGCGGUCCUAUUUUGUUGGUUUCUAGGACCGCCGUAAUGAUUAAUAGGGAUAGUCGGGGGCAUCAGUAUUCAAUUGUCAGAGGUGAAAUUCUUGGAUUUAUUGAAGACUAACUACUGCGAAAGCAUUUGCCAAGGAUGUUUUCAUUAAUCAGUGAACGAAAGUUAGGGGAUCGAAGACGAUCAGAUACCGUCGUAGUCUUAACCGUAAACUAUGCCGACUAGGGAUCGGGCGAUGUUAUCAUUUUGACUCGCUCGGCACCUUACGAGA